rnacentral:tRNA from 1 species
ACUCUCUUAGUAUAACUAAUAUAACUGACUUCCAAUCAGUAGAUUCCGAUAAAUUCCGGAAGAGAGUA